UGAAAAUCGGGCGGCAGCGUCGCCUGAAUUGUAGUCUGUAGAAGCGUCCUCAGCGGCGGACCUGGGCCAAGUCCCUUGGAAGGGGGCGCCUGAGAGGGUGACAGCCCCGUCGGCCCGGGACCCUGCCGCAUCACGAGGCGUUGUCGGCGAGUCGGGUUGUUUGGGAAUGCAGCCCUAAUUGGGUGGUAAAUUCCGUCCAAGGCUAAAUACGGGCGAGAGACCGAUAGCGAACAAGUACCGCGAGGGAAAGAUGAAAAGGACUUUGAAAAGAGAGUUAAAGAGUGCUUGAAAUCGGCAAGAGGAAACCCGUUUGCGCC
rnacentral:rRNA from 13 species